GUGAAUAAUAUGGAUAGUAUUGUUUUGCCGUUAAAUAUUUUUAAUGGCGGCAAGUAUACAAAGAAGCUAUUAUGGAUUCACAGCUAUAUAUCAAAGAGAGAAUAAAACUUUUAAUUUUGAAAUCACACCUUUUAUUAUUUUUUUUUUCUUUUGUUUUAAAUCAUUAUUCUUUAAUAAUGAUAAUAAUAGGAUUUUAAAAGUAAAUGGGCUGUUAGUAGAUGAACUCUAAUUAGAAAUUAAUUAAAAAAAACGAAGUGAAUUGAAAUAUCUUAUUAACUUCAGGAAAACAAAUCAAACGAGAUUCUGCAAGUAGUGAGAAUGAAAGAGGAAUAGCCUAAUUAAGUAAAAUGGAGUACAUAUCUGUUUGAAUAUAAAGGGGAACCUUCCUCUAAGGCUAAAUAUGAUAUAUAAGCGAUAGUUGGAAGUACCGUGAGGGAAAGGAUUGAAAUAGUAGUUUUAUAAGCAGCUCGAGCGAAAUUUAAAUAAACGAUGAGAGCGUACCUUUUGCAUAAUGGGUCAGCAAGUUAAUAUUAGACGCGAGCAGUUAAGCGAAGAUAAACCAAUUAUGAAAUAAUGAUAUAGUAUCUAAGAUUAGACCCGAAGCCUAGUGAUCUUACCAUGAUCAGGGUUAUAAAAGCCCGGACGGGUUAUCGUUGUAAAGAUAUCCGAUGAAUUGUGGUAUGUUAGUGAAAGAUAAUACUGACUAGGAUAGCUGGUUUUCCGCGAAACCUAUAUAAGUAGGUAAUUUAAAUUACAUCAUAGCAGGUACAGAAUUGUGGUCUCAUAUAGCUAACAUGUCUAUGAAAUAGAUAUGUUAUCUGUAGACAUUGGGGGAUCGUGAAGAUUCUAUCAGUGAGUAUUUGUUCUCGGAAGGGCUAAGAUUAAUAUUGAAUAAUCAGACAUAGUACGCAAAGGUUGUAUGUCUAAAGGGAAACAGCCCAGAACAAGAGUUAAUAAGGUUCCAAAAUUAUUGUUAAGUGAAAUAAAAGUAGUAUUUGUCCCAGACAACCAGGAAAUAGGCUUAGAAGCGGCCAUUUUUUGAAGACCUCGUAGCAGAGCACUGGUUUGUAGACUGUUUAUAUGAUUUACAAGGAUAAAGCACUGAAAAUUUAACGGAUCUAAACAAUAUACCGAAACCUUGUCCAUAUAUAUUUAUAUAUCAUAGUUAUAUAUUGUAUGUAUGGGGUAGCGGAACAUUGGGCUAACCUAAGAUUUUUUCUUUAUAAGACUUAAUAUCAGGUAACCCAAGUGAGAAUGCUGACAUGAGUAACGAUAAAGGGAAUAACUCCCUCGCCUAAAGCUUAUGGUAUUUACUUAAAGUAACGGCCUCUAAGUUUAUGUAGUAGAGUAGUAAAAUAAAGUAACCAAAAUAAAGUAAAUGAAACGACGUUUUUUGUUGCUUCACUAACUUUAUAACGCUGUUUUAGUGUAUUACCUAGUCCUUUAGGAUUAAACGAUGAGCAAAUCUAGAGAGUUUACUGGCAAAUAACAUUUAUGCACUUAUAUAUAUAAUUAUGUAUAACUAGUGUAUAAAGAAGGUGAUAAAUGUUCUGGAAAACUGUAAACUCGACAUGAAACUGCAGAAAUGUAUAGUGUGAGUAGUAGAGAGAAAACACGAAAGGAAUUAAACGUUCCAUCAUGUCUAUAUCAACCGUACCUAAAUACUAUCGCAAGUAAGCAAGUAGAGAAUACGAAGGCGUUCGAGUGAACAAUCAUUAAGGAACUCGGCAAAUUAACUCUGUCGUAACUUAGGGAUAAGGUGGGCCAUUCCACUUGAUUAAUAUCAAGGUUGGAAGAGGAGGCACAGAAUGGUGUUGUACGACUGUUUAAUUAAAACAAAGCAUGCUGCAAAGAAAAAAAAAUUCGAAGUAUAGUGUGUGAACUCUGCCCUAUGACGGCUGGGUAUACUAUUUGCUUAAUUGACUAACAUAGGUUAGGCUUUGAAGGAAACCCCGUUCAAUGGCGGCUUUACAGAUGAGAGUCCUAAGGUAGCGUAAUACCUUGGCCGUUAAAUGCGGUCUUGCAUGAAUGACGUAACGAUACAACAGCUGUCUCGAUGAUUGGCUCGGUGAAAUUGGAAUAACAGUGCAGAUACUGUUUACCUGUAGAUAGACGAGAAGACCCUAUGCAGCUUUACUGUUGCUAGUUAUUGGGUAUGAUAUACCAAGUUUUAGCGUAUAAGGUAGUUGAUUUGACAGCAUUGUAACACCUUUACUUAUGGGGAUCAUAUUUAAUUACCACAAGUGGUGGAACAAUUGCUAGGUGGCAGUUUAUGCGGGGCACAGAUCCCAUAAAAAGUACCUGGGAGUAUCCAAAUUUUAAUUCUAAAAAAAAAACAUAUAUGCAAGCAUAUAUAUAUAUAGAGAUUACCUUUAUAUAUUAAAUAAAAAUUCUGUUACAGCAGUAGCCUGCUAUAUUUUUUAUUAUUAGUUUGCUAUUAGUGAUAAUUAAUUUAUUACUAAUCUAAUUAUUUAUCUAUUUAAGUUAGAACUUUUUUUUUAACCAAGUAGGAUUUUAACUAUCUAAAUAUAUAGAUGUAAUUAAAACAUUAUAUAGUUAUAAUAUAAAAUAUAUAAUAUACUAGGAAUGUUUUUUGUUGUUAACUAGUUUAUCUAUAAAUUAAUAAGAGAUAACUAGCUAAAUGAUUAUUAUUUUACUCAUAAAGUUUAACGGCUUAAUCUUGCUUUACUGUUUGACUUACAUGUCUUUCAGUCGCGUAAGCGGGGCAUAUGAUCACAAGAUGCAGAAAGGAAAGGUCUUGGAUUAUUGAAAAAGCUACGCUAGGGAUAACAGGCUAAUUGCGCCAGAGAGUUCAUAUUGAGUGCGCAGUUUGGCACCUCGAUGUCGGCUUAGCUCAUCCACAUGGAUGCAACAACCAUGAAGGGUUCGACUGUUCGUCGAUUAAAGAGUUACACGAGCUGGGUUAAAUACGUCGUGAGACAGUAUGGUUUCUAUCUUCUAGAGGAAAUUAGAAUAAAAUAAGGAUAGCCCCUUGUACGUAAGUAAAUGGGUAUAUUAACCUCUGGUUUACCUGCUGUUUAUGUUCCUAUAUUAAUAUAAAUUAUAAGUUUAUAUAAAAAGUACAUUCUUUUUAAUAUGGCUUAUUUUGGGGUUUUACUUUUCACUAUAGUAAUUUUUAACAUAGGCACGGCAGGAAGGCUAUGUUAGUUAAUGAUAAGAGCUGAAUACAUAUAGGCACGAAACUGACCUUAAGAUAUUCUUAAAUAAACGUAGUUUAAUACUACGAUUUUGGGUCCUUAUAGUUUAAAUAUGAAAAGAUUAAACAAGUAUAAUUUUAUAAAAUUAAUCAGGGUUUAAUAUUAUUUUUGUUAUUUUUACCAUAAAGAUUUUAAUUAAUAGGCUUUAGCUGAUAGAAUUGUGACAUUUUUAGGCACUAAGUACUAAUUUUUUUUUU
rnacentral:rRNA from 1 species